CCCUCACAAACACACAAACAGCACCCUCACACACACACAGCACACUAACAGUACCCUCACAAACACAAACAGGACCCUAACACACACACAGCACACUUCCAGUACCCUCACACACAAACAGCACCCUCACACACAGUACAUUAACAGCACCCUCACAAGCGCACACAAACACACACAAACCGCACCCUCACACACAGUACAUUAACAGCAUCCUCACAAGCACGCACACACAAACACCCUCACCCACAUAGCACACUACCAGCACCGUCACACACACAUCACACUAACAGCACCCUCACACAGCACACACACACACACAGCAGUGUGUGUAUGUGUUUA